rnacentral:rRNA from 1 species
GACGAACGCUGGCGGCGUGCUUAACACAUGCAAGUCGAGCGGAAAGGCCCUUUCGGGGGUACUCGAGCGGCGAACGGGUGAGUAACACGUGAGUAAUCUGCCCUUGGCUUUGGGAUAACCACCGGAAACGGUGGCUAAUACCGGAUAUGACGGGCUCCGGCAUCGGGGUUCGUGGAAAGUUUUUUCGGCCAGGGAUGAGCUCGCGGCCUAUCAGCUUGUUGGUGGGGUAAUGGCCUACCAAGGCUUCGACGGGUAGCCGGCCUGAGAGGGUGACCGGCCACACUGGGACUGAGACACGGCCCAGACUCCUACGGGAGGCAGCAGUGGGGAAUAUUGGACAAUGGGCGGAAGCCUGAUCCAGCAACGCCGCGUGAGGGAUGACGGCCUCGUGUACGUAC